CCUACGGGUGGCAGCAGUGAGGAAUAUUGGUCAAUGGACGAGAGUCUGAACCAGCCAAGUAGCGUGAAGGAUGACUGCCCUAUGGGUUGUAAACUUCUUUUAUAUGGGAAUAAAACGUUCCACGUGUGGGAUUUUGUAUGUACCAUAUGAAUAAGGAUCGGCUAAAUCCGGGCCAGCAGCCGCGGUAAUACGGAGGAUCCGAGCGUUAUCCGGAUUUAUUGGGUUUAAAGGGAGCGUAGGUGGAUUGUUAAGUCAGUUGUGAAAGUUUGCGGCUCAACCGUAAAAUUGCAGUUGAAACUGGCAGUCUUGAGUACAGGAGAGGUAGGCGGAAUGCGUGGUGUAGCGGUGAAAUGCUUAGAUAUCACGAAGAACUCCGAUUGCGAAGGCAGUUCACUGGACUGCAACUGACACUGAGGCUCGAAAGUGUGGGUAUCAAACAGGAUUAGAUACCCCAGUAGUC
rnacentral:rRNA from 1 species